rnacentral:rRNA from 1 species
AACGCACGGGAGGCUCACACAGUUGUCAAGCCGAGCGGUAGAGAUUCUCUCGGAAUCUUAGAGAGCGGCGCACGGGUGCGGAACACGUGUGCAACCUGCCUUUAUCUGGGGGAUAGCCUUUCGAAAGGGAGAUUAAUACCCCAUAAUAUACUGAGUGGCAUCACUUAUUAUUGAAAACUCCGGUGGAUAGAGAUGGGCACGCGCAAGAUUAGAUAGUUGGUGAGGUAACGGCUCACCAAGUCAAUGAUCUUUAGUGGGGCCUGAGAGGGUGAUCCCCCACACUGGUACUGAGACACGGACCAGACUCCUACGGGAGGCAGCAGUGAGGAAUAUUGGACAAUGGGUGAGAGCCUGAUCCAGCCAUCCCGCGUGAAGGACGACGGCCCUAUGGGUUGUAAACUUCUUUUGUACAGGGAUAAACCUUUCCACGUGUGGAAAGCUGAAGUGUACUGUACAGAAUAAGCACCGGCUAACUCCGUUGCCAGACAGCCGCGGGUAAAUACGGAGUGGUGCAAAAGCGUUAUCCCGGAUUUUAUUGGGUUUAAAGGGUCCCGUAGAGACGGAUCUGUAAGUCCACUGGGUGAAAUUCUCAUAGGCUUUAAACAUUAUGAAAACUUGCCAUUG